rnacentral:rRNA from 1 species
GACGAACGCUGGCGGCGUGCUUAACACAUGCGAGUCGAACGGAAAGGCCCCUUUGGGGGUACUCGAGUGGCGCACGGGUGAGUAACACGUGAGUAACCUGCCCUUGACUUCGGGAUAACUUCAGGAAACUGGGGCUAAUACCGGAUAGGAAUCCUUGCUGCAUGGUGGGGGUUGGAAAGCUUCGGCGGUUUUGGAUGGACUCGCGGCUUAUCAGCUUGUUGGUGGGGUAGUGGCUUACCAAGGCUUUGACGGGUAGCCGGCCUGAGAGGGCGACCGGCCACAUUGGGACUGAGAUACGGCCCAGACUCCUACGGGAGGCAGCAGUGGGGAAUAUUGCACAAUGGGCGGAAGCCUGAUGCAGCAACGCCGCGUGCGGGAUGACGGCCUUCGGGUUGUAAACCGCUUUCAGCAGGGGCGAAGCUUUUGUGACGGUACCUGCAGAAGAAGCACCGGCUAACUACGUG